rnacentral:rRNA from 1 species
UACGGGGGGUGCGAGCGUUGUCCGGAAUCACUGGGCGUAAAGGGCGCGUAGGUGGUUUGAUAAGGGUGUGGUGAAAGUCCGGGGGCUCAACCCCGGAUCUGCCGUGCCGACUGUCAAACUCGAGGGCUGUAGAGGCAGACGGAAUUCCUGGUGUAGCAGUGAAAUGCGUAGAUAUCAGGAGGAAUACCGAUGGCGAAGGCAGGUCUCUGGGCUAUAACUGACGCUCAUGCACGAAAGCGUGGGGAGCAAACAGG